UGGCGGACGGGUGAGUAACGCGUGGGUAACCUGCCUCAUACAGGGGGAUAACAGUUAGAAAUGACUGCUAAUACCGCAUAAGACCACAGCACCGCAUGGUACAGUGGUAAAAACUCCGGUGGUAUGAGAUGGACCCGCGUCUGAUUAGGUAGUUGGUGGGGUAACGGCCUACCAAGCCGACGAUCAGUAGCCGACCUGAGAGGGUGACCGGCCACAUUGGGACUGAGACACGGCCCAG
rnacentral:rRNA from 1 species